CAGCCUGAAGCAGGUCCACCUGGUGUCCUUCCAGUGCAGCCCGCAUUCCACGCCACAGGGCAUCAUAGGCACCUUCAGGCAGUGCGCCCGCUUCCAGCAGGGGAAGGACCUGCGGCAGUACGUGUCCGUGGUGGUGCUCGACGAGGUGGGACUGGCGGAGGACUCGCCCAAGAUGCCCCUGAAGGCUCUGCACCCGCUGCUGGAAGACGGCUGCGUCGAAGACGACCCCGCCCCCCACAAGAAAGUCGGCUUCGUGGGCAUCUCCAACUGGGCCCUGGACCCCGCCAAGAUGAACCGCGGCAUCUUCGUGUCGCGCGGCAGCCCCAGCGAGCAGGAGCUCACGGAGAGCGCCAGGGGCAUCUGCUCUUCCGACAGCCUCGUUCAGGACAGAAUCCAGGGCUUCUUCGCACCCUUUGCCAGAGCCUACGAGACAGUGUGCGAGAGCCAAGACAAGGAGUUCUUCGGGCUUCGCGACUACUACAGCCUCAUCAAGAUGGUCUUCGCCGUGGCGAAAGCCUCCAACAGAAAGCCUUCCCCACAAGACAUCGCGCAGGCCGUCCUGCGCAACUUCAGCGGCAAAGACGACAUCCACGCUUUGGACAUCUUCACAGCCAGUUUGCCGGAGGCAAAGUGCUCGGAAGAAGUCAGCACUGUGCAGCUGAUCAAGCAGAACAUCUACGGGGCUCUGGAGAAGGUGCCAGGCAGAGGGCUGGACGACGUGGACUCCCGAUACUUACUCCUGCUCACCAAAAACUACGUGGCCCUGCAGAUCCUGCAGCAGACGUUCUUCAGCGAGGGCCAGCAGCCGGAGAUCAUUUUUGGUUCCAGCUUUCCCAAGGACCAAGAGUACACCCAGAUCUGCAGAAACAUCAACCGCGUGAAGGUCUGCAUGGAAACGGGCAAGAUGGUGGUGCUGCUGAACCUGCAGAACCUCUACGAGAGCCUCUACGACGCGCUCAACCAGUACUACGUCUACCUCGGGGGGCAGAAGUACGUGGACCUGGGUUUGGGGACCCAUCGUGUCAAAUGCCGGGUUCACCCAGACUUCCGCCUGAUAGUCAUCGAAGAGAAGGAGGUUGUGUACACUCGCUUCCCCAUCCCCCUCAUCAACCGGCUGGAGAAGCACUAUCUGGACCUGAGCACCGUGCUGGAGAAAUGGCAGAAGAGCAUCGUGGACGAGCUCGAGACGUGGGUGGCGAAAUUCGUCCACGUGAAGACGGAUCUGUUGCAAGCCAGACACAAGUACAGCCCUUCCGACGUCUUCAUCGGCUACCACUCGGACACCUGCGCCUCGGUGGUGCUGCAGGUCACAGAGAGGCAAGGCCCCAGGGGCCCGACCGAGGAGCUUUACCAGAAGGUGUCCACGGAGGCAAAACUGACACUGCUGGAUUGCGCCACCCCCGACGCUGUGGUGCGGCUGAGCGCCUCCUCGCUGGGCUUAUUCGCGGCCGAGUCCCUGUCCCGGGAAUACUACCACACCCAGCAGCACGACCCCUUCGCGGAUUUCCUGUGGGCUCACCUUGAAGCGACAAGCCAGGAAAGCCAUGCCGUCUUCACGGAGGUCACCACUUUCUCCAGACUGCUGACGAGUCACGACUGUGAAGCCCUGGCGUCGGAGCUGGCAGGCAGGGCCGCGAAACCCACAGUCCUGUGGCUGCAGCACUUCUACACGGAGCAGUCCUUCCUCAAGGCGGUCCGAAACGGCUUAACUUGUGCAGCCGGAUGCAAAAUCCUCAUUAUUCAGACAGAUUUUGAAGACGGAGUUCACAGUGCUCAGCUCAUUGCCUCGGCUAAGUAUUCUGCUGUAAACGAAAUCAACAACAUACAAGGGAACGAGGGCUGCGUCUUAGUCUAUUUCAUCACAAAACUGUCCCGGAUGGGAAGCGGGGCAUCCUAUGUGGGAUUCCAUGGAGGGCUGUGGCGGUCUGUGCACAUCGACGACCUCCGGAGAUCCACAGUCAUGGUUUCGGACGUGACGAGGCUGCAGAGCGUCACCGUCAGCCAGCUGUUCGAGCCGGGAGAGCAGCCGGAGCUGGCGAUGGGAUGCGGGGCAGAAGAUGACAGAGAGGAGGCAAUGGAAACAGAGAGUAGCAGAUCCGGGGAAACGGCAGACGGGGACAUGGAAACAGGAAGUUCUGGGAGUACGGAAGAUGAAACCUCCCAGACGGGAGGCCGUGAUGCGCAGGUCCUGGACACCACGCGGCUGCUGAGGAGCUGCGUGCAGAGUGCCGUGGGGGUGCUCAGAGACCAGAGUGAGAGCUGCGGGCGCAACAUGCGGAGGGUGGAGCUUCUGCUCAGCCUCUUCAGCGAAGACAGCGAGCGCAGCGCGUCUUUCCUGCGCGUGUCCAAGAUGCGCCUCCACGAUCUUUUAAAGAAGCAAGAAGAGAGCCACCUCCCCAGCCUGAAGCAGUGGGUGUCUCGGGAGGCUUCGAACCAGGACGCCCUCCAGGAGGCGGGCACGUUCAGGCAAACCCUCUGUGGAAGCGAGUCCAGCGGGCUGUCACGCCUCUCCUGGCACGAGUGAUAUCGUUCAUCGACAGAGACGGAAACCUCGAGCUCCUGGCCAGGCCAGAUUCUCCGCCCUGGGCAAGAGACCUUUGGAUGUUUAUUUUCAGUGACACUAAGCUUCUGAACAUUCCCCUUGUGAUGAAUAACGCAAGGUGAAUAGAAGACUUUGUUUUUAUGGGAAGGGGAAAAAAUCAUAAAAUAGUAGCACUUUUAAUAUGUUCUCCCAGCUGUUUGAUAAAACACAGAUACUGCCUUUAGAAUGACAUUUGUGGGCUCCUCUUGCUGCGUAGAGGAUCAGGCGUUGCAAAAGAAGUUCACUGAGGUUCUGAGGAAUCCUCGUUCCUCGCCACCACCUCAUUUCCCGCUUUCCCAGCGCCCACUCUAGCUGAAAUAGCCCNNNNNNNNNNNNNNNNNNNNNNNNNAAAAAACUCACACGUGUGAGGAGAACAUCCUGAGAAGCCAUAUCACUAGAGGUGAAGGUAUUCUUAGGGAUAAGAAAAUACCCUAACUUUAAAAAUGGGUAAUAGUUAUAGAAGCACUUUUAACAGAAUAAUCAUAUUAAUAUCAACAUGCAGAGAACACUUGAAAUUGCUCAGCCUCACUAGUAAAUCAACGAAAUGUAUAAACAAUUUUGAGACUAUUUUUACCUACUCAUUUGGCAACACGGAGUUUUUUUUUGUUUGUUUUUGAGACAGAGUCUUGCUCUGUUGCUCAGGCUAGAGUGAGUGCCAUCAGCCUAAGCUCACAGCAACAUCAAUUUGCUAAGCUCAAGCAUUCCUUCUGCCUCAGCCUCCCAAGUAGCUGGGACUACAGGUGUGCACCAUCAUGCCAGGCUAAAUUUUUUAUUUUUAUUUUUUUUUUAGUUGUCCAGCUAAUUUCUUCAUAUAUUUUUAGUAGAGACUAAAAGGUCUUACUCUUUCUCAGGCUGGUCUCGAACUCCUGAGCUCAAACGAUCCGCCUGCCUCGGCCCCCCAGAGAGCUAGGAAUCCAGGUAUGAGCCACCGCGCCUGGCCAGCAACACCGAGCUUAAAGGAGGAGGGCAGCGAGCGCUGCAGAGAAAGGCGGUGGCUGCUCUGGACCCGCCCGGCGGGGCGCUGCCGCUACCUCACAGAGCCUGAACGUCUCACUCUGUCCUAAGAAAAUUACUGGACACAUGCACAGAUAUUUUAUUCAUGGGAAUGUUCUUUUCAAAUUUGUCUCAAAAAUUAAAAAUUAGAAACCAUUGUUCAAAAAUAAGAGAUGGACAAAUUAAAAUAUAGCAAUUCAUUCAGUGGGUUAUUAAGCAGCCAUUAAAAACGAUGCUUUCAAGCACGCUUAGUAACAGAGAGCAGAGUAAUAGACUGACACAGAGAAGCGUCCGUAACGCAACGAGCAGCGGGAAACAUCAGGACGACGCCGUGACCCUAAUUGGGAAGGACAGGGAGGGGAGGCAGACGUAAAACUGGCCAGAAGGAGCCACACCAGACAGCAAACGGGAUGCUGACACUAAGCGUGACCUCCA
ensembl:lincRNA